rnacentral:rRNA from 1 species
ACGGGUGAGUAAUGUCUGGGAAACUGCCUGAUGGAGGGGGAUAACUACUGGAAACGGUAGCUAAUACCGCAUAACGUCGCAAGACCAAAGAGGGGGACCUUCGGGCCUCUUGCCAUCAGAUGUGCCCAGAUGGGAUUAGCUAGUAGGUGGGGUAAUGGCUCACCUAGGCGACGAUCCCUAGCUGGUCUGAGAGGAUGACCAGCCACACUGGAACUGAGACACGGUCCAGACUCCUACGGGAGGCAGCAGUGGGGAAUAUUGCACAAUGGGCGCAAGCCUGAUGCAGCCAUGCCGCGUGUGUGAAGAAGGCCUUCGGGUUGUAAAGCACUUUCAGCGAGGAGGAAGGUGGUGAACUUAAUACGUUCAUCAAUUGACGUUACUCGCAGAAGAAGCACCGGCUAACUCCGUGCCAGCAGCCGCGGUAAUACGGAGGGUGCAAGCGUUAAUCGGAAUUACUGGGCGUAAAGCGCACGCAGGCGGUUUGUUAAGUCAGAUGUGAAAUCCCCGGGCUCAACCUGGGAACUGCAUUUGAAACUGGCAAGCUAGAGUCUCGUAGAGGGGGGGUAGAAUUCCAGGUGUAGCGGUGAAAUG